GACGAACGCUGGCGGCGUGCUUAACACAUGCAAGUCGAACGGAAAGGCCCUGCUUUUGUGGGGUGCUCGAGUGGCGAACGGGUGAGUAACACGUGAGUAACCUGCCCUUGACUUUGGGAUAACUUCAGGAAACUGGGGCUAAUACCGGAUAGGAGCUCCUGCUGCAUGGUGGGGGUUGGAAAGUUUCGGCGGUUGGGGAUGGACUCGCGGCUUAUCAGCUUGUUGGUGGGGUAGUGGCUUACCAAGGCUUUGACGGGUAGCCGGCCUGAGAGGGUGACCGGCCACAUUGGGACUGAGAUACGGCCCAGACUCCUACGGGAGGCAGCAGUGGGGAAUAUUGCACAAUGGGCGGAAGCCUGAUGCAGCAACGCCGCGUGCGGGAUGACGGCCUUCGGGUUGUAAACCGCUUUCGCCUGUGACGAAGCGUGAGUGACGGGAAGGGGUAAAGAAGCACCGGCUAACUACG
rnacentral:rRNA from 1 species